AGUUCGAUUCUGGCUCAGAUUGAACGCUGGCGGGAUGCUUUUUACAUAGCGUGUCGAACGGCAGCACGGACUUCGGGUCUGGUGGCGAGUGGCGAACGGGUGAGUAAUGUAUCGGAACGUGCCUAGUAGCGGGGAUAACUAGCGCGAAAGCGUAGCCACACUGCAUAUUGCCCUUCGGGGGAAAGCGGGGACCUUCGGGCCUCGCACUAUUAGAGCGGCCGAUAUCGGAUUAGCUAGUUGGUAAGUAACGGCUCACCAAAGGCGACGAUCCGUAGUUGGUUUGAGAGGACGACCAGCCGCACACCGACCGAGAUAUCGGGCCCAGACUCCUACGGGAGGCAGCAGUGGGGAAUUUUGGACAAUGGGGGGAAACCCCGAUCCAGCCAUCCCGCGUGCGAUGAAGGCCUUCGGGUUGUAAAGCACUUUUGGCAGGAAAGAAACGGCACGGGAUAAUACCCCGUGCAACUGACGGUACCUGCAGAAUAAGCACCGGCUAACUACGUGCCACAGCAGCCGCGGUAAUACGUAGGGUGCAAGCGUUAAUCGGAAUUAUCGGGCGUAAAGCGCGCAGCAGGCGUUCUGAAAAAGAAAGAUGCGAAAUCCCAGAGCUUAACUUUGGAACUGCAUUUUUAACUACCGAGCUAGAGUGUGUCAGGAGGAGGGAAUUCCGCGUGGCAGUGAAAUGCGUAGAUAUGCGAGUGGCACUGAUGGCGAAGGCAGCCUCCUGGGAUAACACUGACGCUCGCUGCACGAAAGCGUGGGGAGCAAACAGGAUUAGAUACCCCGGGUAGUCCACGCCCUAAACGAUGUCAACUAGCUGUUGGGGCCUUCGGCCUCCAGCAGCUAACGCGUUGACCGCCUGGGAGUACGGUCGAUUAAAACUCAAAGGAAUUGACGGGGACCUGCACGCUGGGUGGAUGAUGUGGAUUAAUUCGAUGCAACGCGAAACCUACCUACCCUUGACAUGUUCGAAUCCCGAAGAGAUUUGGGAGUGCUCGCAAGAGAACCGGAACACAGGUGCUGCAUGGCUGUCGUCAGCUCGUGUCGAGAUGUUGGGUUAAGUCCCGCAAUGAGCGGCAAACCCUUUGUCAUUAGUUGCUACGAAAGGGCACUCUAAUGAGACUGCCGGUGACAAACCGGAGGAAGGUGGGGACACGUCAAGUCCUCAUGGCCCUUAUGGGUAGGGCUUCUCACACGUCAUACAAUGGUCGGGACAGAGGGUCGCCAACCCGCGAGGGGAGCCAAUCCCAGAAACCCGAUCGUAGUCCGGAUCGCAGUCUGCAACUCGACUGCGUGAAGUCGGAAUCGCUAGUAAUCGCGGAUCAGCAUGUCGCGGUGAAUACGUUCCCGGGUCUUGUACACACCGCCCGUCACACCAUGAGUGGGUUUUACCAGAAGUAGUUAGCCUAACCGUAUGAGUGGCGAUUACCACGGUAGGAUUCAUGACUGGGGUGAAGUCGUAACAAGGUAA
rnacentral:rRNA from 1 species